ensembl:lncRNA
GCCACACAAACACAUACACUAACGCACAGAACAGGAGGGCGAUCAGUAAUCAUAAAAGUCACUCUAACUGAAGCUGACAUGACUGAGCCAUCCAGGGGUCUCUUUUACCUUCCUAUCAUCUAUUUGUGGACAGGAGGGGUAGAGGGCGAUGUGCUGGCUUCACUGGCACCUCCAGUUCACCUGUCAGGGGAGAGGCUUGGUUGGACCCUGCUGGUGUGCAUUGUGAAUGACUUCAGGAGAGGGCACAUGGAGGUCAGCUGGAGCUCAGCGUCAGAGGGUCACAUGCCCACCACACCAUACAGCAUUGCUUUAACCAGGAAGCACCAUGUCCCCAAUGUGGUGGCUGUUAUCACUGUGACAACCAGAGACUGGCCAUCAUACAGUUGCUCAGUAAGUCGCAAGAGACACUCAAAAGGCAAGAGGAGACGCCGCAUCACCUCAUCAGAUGAUCAAGACAAACUGUGCCAUGAAGAAGAAAAAAUUAAAGGCAUCGAUGUGUGGACAAACACGGUGGUUAUCCUGGUUAUGAGGCUGCUUCUCAUGAAGAUCCUCGCCUUUGACACUCUGAUGACCAUUUAUGUUGUUAUUAAGUGAUUGAUGGAAAUGGGUUUCUCAUGCAACAUGUGACCUUGACAAGGAAACUAACCUAGAGAGGAUAACUGUUUCUGGUCUGAAGUCUUCAUAGAGGGGUUUUCUUCACCUGAAGAUAAUGAGUAUGUUCCCACUCAUGUGGUUGAUUUUAUGGACAUGGUUUGACGAAUUAAACGGGAAAUGAUCCAUUGCCAGGGUGACAGCAGUAUGCUGUAACGCUUAAAGACGCGCCUUUUUCACCCUUUUCACAGAAACAUCCAGGUGUUGCUGCCUUUGGCAGUUGAAAACAGAUCGUGUUUGUGAGGCCAAACCUGUUAUCUGAUCAAAAGCUAACCACAGACAGAUGGCUUAAUGCUUCUGUUAAAUGUGUGUAUGGGCUUCUGUGAGAAGGUGUGUGUACAGUCUCGCUCUUAUUUAACUCUAAACUCCUGUGGGUGAAUUUCAGCUCAAAGUUUGUUCAUUUUUUGUUUGUUUGUUUGUUUACUCAUUAAUACUGUUUUACUUUAUUAGUAUGUUCAUUUUUCUUUUUAUAUUCCUGUGAAUGUAAAAUUAAUAGACAGGAAGUAAAAUCGAACUGUGUUGACUUUCAUGUUUGUUCGCUUUUUUAAAUAAAAC